ACACGUAGGGGGCGAGCGUUGUUCGGAAUCAUUGGGCGUAAAGGGUGCGCAGGCGGCAUGCCAAGUCUGGUGUGAAAGGUCCCGGCUCAACCGGGGAAACGCGCUGGAAACUGGUGUGCUGGAGUACAGGAGGGGGAGUUGGAGUUCCAGGUGUAGGGGUGAAAUCUGUAGAUAUCUGGAAGAACACCGGUGGCGAAGGCGAACUUCUGGCCAUGUACUGACGCUGAGGCACGAAGGCGUGGGGAGCAAACAGGUGUAGAUACCCUGGUAGUCCACGCAGUAAACGAUGUACACUAGGUGGUGGGCGGUAGCGCUCAGUACCGAAGCAAACGCAUUAAGUGUACCGCCUGGGGAGUAUGCUCGCAAGGGUGAA
rnacentral:rRNA from 1 species